ACUACGGGAGGCAGCAGUAGGGAAUCUUCCGCAAUGGACGCAAGUCUGACGGAGCAACGCCGCGUGAGUGAAGAAGGUUUUCGGAUCGUAAAACUCUGUUGUUAUAGAAGAACAAGUGCUAGAGUAACUGUUAGCGCCUUGACGGUAUCUAACCAGAAAGCCACGGCUAACUACGUGCCAGCAGCCGCGGUAAUACGUAGGUGGCAAGCGUUGUCCGGAUUUAUUGGGCGUAAGGCGAGCGCAGGCGGUUCCUUAAGUCUGAUGUGAAAGCCCCCGGCUCAACCGGGGAGGGUCAUUGGAAACUGGGGAACUUGAGUGCAGAAGAGGAGAGUGGAAUUCCAUGUGUAGCGGUGAAAUGCGUAGAUAUAUGGAGGAACACCAGUGGCGAAGGCGACUCUCUGGUCUGUAACUGACGCUGAGGCUCGAAAGCGUGGGUAGCAAACAGGAUUAGAUACCCUAGUAGUC
rnacentral:rRNA from 1 species